UGAAGUUUCUCCUGUAAGUUGUUCUCCAUCACUAGUUAAUACAGUUAGUCUGUAUAUCCCAGAAUCCUCCAGUCUCAGGUUCCAGAGCUCCAGAGCGAAAGUGUUUCUGUCAAAACUGACUCUGUCUCUGUAUGCUGAGACUAUUAUAGUUGAAUCAGACACUGCUGUCAAUAUCAGAGUUGAUCCAAAGCGCCACUGAAUUGUAAUAAUUGAUGUGGAGGGCGGGUUAACAGGAACAAACACCACACUUCCUCCUACUGCUCCAUUAGUCGGAGCAGAAAUCUGCAGAUCUUCACUUAGAAACAGACC